rnacentral:rRNA from 1 species
AUUGAACGCUGGCGGCGUGCCUAAUACAUGCAAGUCGAACGCAGUGGGGACGGGUGAGUAACACGUGGGUAACCUCCCAUCAGAGGGGAUAACACUUGGAAACAGGUGCUAACCCGCUACUGAUGGAUGGACCCGCGGUGCAUUAGCUCGUUGGUGAGGUAACGGCUAACCAAGGCUACGAUACAUAGCCGACCUGAGAGGGGGAUCGGCCACACUGGGACUGAGACACGGACCAGACUCCUACGUGUGGCAGCAGUAGGGAAUCUUCGGCAAUGGACGAAAGUCUGACCGAGCAACGCCGCGUGAGUGAAGAAGGUUUUCGGAUCGUAAAACUCUGUUGUUAGAGAAGCGGUAUCUAACCAGAAAGCCACGGCUAACUCCGUGCCAGCAGCCGCGGUAAUUC